GUACGAUUAGCGUGGGCAUCCCGCAUCACUGCAAUCUCCAUCCAUCCAUAGCACAACAGCACUACCCAGUACCACAGUACUCGCCUGCGUACAACUUGGAGCAGGCUCGCAUUGUUUACUAUCUCCACUACUCCAGACCCCAGCCUCCGGCCCCAGCCCCCAUCCAGUCUCCGUAUGGGUACAAGAUGGUGGAUAGCAGUCAUGGUGGGGGGCCAUUGACGCAUCUUUGAUUAUAGGUCUUUAGUUACGGUAGGUUACGGUUAUGGUCGCCCAAUCCGACGCGUCAAAACCUUACGUUAUGGUUAUGUCAAUUCAUGUGUGAGGGCCUUUACUGAGGUGUUCAGAUCUAUAGCUAUUUCCUGAUUGAUUCUUAAGCUUAUGUUUACGUCUUAUGCUUAUGCUUACGGAAAUUCGUCAGAUGCGAUGGCCUAUACGCCUUCUGAAUAAAAACAUGGUCCCGAGGUGAGAUAGCUUAUCUUCUAUCCUUCAAGGCAAAAGAGACUACGCAUGCGCGAAAAGUUAGGCGCGGUAUAUGUAUUUUGGGCACAAUGCAAUGGUAUAAUGAAGUAUAUAAAUAUUCAAAUAAAAUGUAAAAUAUAAAAA